UACGAAGGGGGGCUAGCGUUACUCGGAUUGACUGGGCGUAAAGGGCGCGUAGGCGGUUUGUACAGUCAGACGUGAAAUUCCUGGGCUCAACCUGGGGGCUGCGUUUGAUACGUGCAGACUUGAGUUCGGAAGAGGGUCGUGGAAUUCCCAGUGUAGAGGUGAAAUGCGCAGAUAUCAGGAGGAACACCCGUGGCGAAAGCGGCUCUCUGGGACGGUACUGACGCUGAGACGCGAAAGCGUGGGGAGCAAACAGG
rnacentral:rRNA from 1 species